UUUUUUUUUUUACUCUUUAAAAAAAAUAUUUUAGCAUAGUUAAUUACAAUGUUUUUAAGGAAAUAUAAAAAAAAGUAGAAUAAUUAAUUAGUUCAGCUAAUUUUUAAGAUCAAAAUUUAUUUUUAUAAUGACAUGCAUGUUUUAAAACUUUUGUUUGGAUAACCACCCUAAUUACAGAUUAUUUAACUGCCACUGGAGUACAAUUUAUAACCUGGGGCUAAAUAUUGUAAAUUUCCUUCUUUAUUAGACAUAAGAUAAUUGAAAUAAAAACAAAGUAUGUUUGUUAUUGAUUAGAAGACUUUGAUCAUCUCAUUAGUAAAGGCAAGAAUGUUGUUAACUUCUCCAAUCAAAUUAUAUACAAAAUAUAUUUAUAGUGUCAAAGGGAUACAUGUAUCUAUUUCUAAAAAGAAUUGCU
rnacentral:lncRNA from 1 species